rnacentral:lncRNA from 1 species
CAUUUCUACGCCUGGUUUUCUUCCGUGCACCCAAUUAAUCAAUCUUGCUGGUUUCUCUGAUAUCUCUCAUCUUCAUGAGGGCUUGGCAUUCUCGAAAAAGUCUUUCUUUCUUUCGUUCUUGUUGGCAUGAACGUGGUAGUGACUCUGAUUCCAUGCCCACCGAGUAAUUACCCGUUUUGGAAUAGUUCUCUCCUCGAAGAAUCAGAAGCAUCAUGGGGAGGGGGGGGAGGGUUCAGGUUAUUAUUGCCAUGAAAUAAACACAGGUCCUACAUGCUCCAAAUACUGUUGAGGGAAUUGAAGAAAGCUCUAUAUAAUGCACACCAUGCUAAGAUCACAGAUAGAUAGAUAGAUGGAUAGAUAGACAGAGAGAGAAGACUAAUUGACGAAACAAGUGAUUAUUACAAUGUGAGAUCAGAGACUUUGAAUGAAGGGAAUAUAAUAAUACACCAUGAAAUAAAAACACAUUCUAGAUAUUCCAAAGGCUUUUGGGGAAUUUGAAGAAAGCUAUGUCCAUAAUACACACACCAUGCUAAGAUCAGACAGAGAGAGAGAGAGAGCAGUGAUUGAUGGAGCAAGUGAUUAUCACAAUGCGGGUGGGAUCAGAGACUGCGAUGAUGAAUGAUGGUAAUGGGGGCAAAAUUUCCUCGCAGGGCCGAUUCUUCUGGAGGAUUACCAUCUGAUCGAGAAGAUCGCGCAGUUCGACAGGGAGCGGAUCCCCGAGCGGGUCGUCCACGCCAGGGGAGCCAGCGCCAAGGGCUUCUUCGAGGUCACCCACGACAUCACCCACCUCACCUGCGCUGACUUCCUCCGCGCGCCGGGCGUCCAGACCCCGGUGAUCGUGCGCUUCUCCACCGUCAUCCACGAGAGGGGGAGCCCCGAAACCCUCAGGGACCCCCGCGGCUUCGCCGUCAAGUUCUACACCAGAGAGGUACGUGAGCUCGUGAAUAAACCUCGCCCUUUCGGAAUCAUGGGCCAUAAACCUUCUUCCUUUUUUCUUUUUUUUUUUUGUGUUUUUCUUCAGGGGAAUUUCGAUCUCGUAGGGAACAACUUCCCGGUGUUCUUCAUCCGGGAUGGGAUGAAGUUCCCCGACAUGGUCCACGCUCUGAAGCCCAACCCGGUGUCGCACAUCCAGGAGAACUGGAGGAUCCUCGACUUCUUCUCCCACCACCCGGAGAGCCUCCACAUGUUCACCUUUCUCUUCGACGACAUCGGCAUCCCCGCUGACUACAGGCACAUGGACGGCUCCGGGGUCAACACCUACACCCUGGUCAACAGGGCGGGGAAGGCCCACUACGUGAAGUUCCACUGGAAGCCCACUUGCGGGGUGAAGUCCCUGCUGGAGGAGGAAGCCGUGGUGGUCGGAGGCACCAACCACAGCCACGCCACCAAGGACCUCUACGACUCCAUUGCCGCCGGAAACUACCCAGAGUGGAAGCUCUACAUUCAGACCAUCGACCCGGACCACGAGGACAGGUUUGACUUUGACCCACUUGACGUCACCAAGACCUGGCCCGAAGACAUCAU